AAUAGUCUUUUAAUUGAAGGCUUGGAUGAAAGGUCGGACAAUAAGAAUUGUGUCUCUCAGGUAAGAUUAUUGAAAUUAACUUUUAUGUGAAAAGGCAUGAAUAACUUAGUGGGACGAUAAGACCCUAUAAAAUUUGAUAGUUUAUAAUAGUUUUUUGAAUUAUUAUGUAAAAAUAGACUGGUUAGAGCUAUUUUGCUGGGGCGGCAGGAAUAAAAUUUAAGUAACUGUUUUGUAAACGAAAUAAUUAUAAUUAGGUAGUGACCCUGAAUUUUAGGGUGAGAGUAUAAAUUACUUUAGGGAUAACAGCGUGAUUUUUCUUGAGAGUUCAUAUCGACAGAGAUAGUUGCGACCUCGAUGUUGAAUUAAAGAGUCUCCCAGGGGCAGAAGUUUGGGAUGAGGGUCUGUUCGACCUUUAAAUCUUUA
rnacentral:rRNA from 1 species